rnacentral:rRNA from 1 species
GUUUAUCAAAAACAUGUCUUUUUGAAUUUAAUUUAAAGUCUAACCUGCCCACUGAAAUUUUAAAUGGCCGCAGUAUUUUAACUGUGCAAAGGUAGCAUAAUCAUUAGUCUUUUAAUUGAAGGCUGGAAUGAAUGGUUGAAUGAAAUAUUAACUGUUUCAUAUAAAUUAAAAAUAGAAUUUUAUUUUUUAGUUAAAAAGCUAAAAUUUUAUUAAAAGACGAGAAGACCCUAUAAAUCUUUAUAUUUAAUUUUAUAAUUUUUAUGUAGAUAAAUUAAAUUUUUAUAUAAUUAAGUAUUUUAUUGGGGUGAUAUUAAAAUUUAAAAAACUUUUAAUUUAAAAUUAACAAAAAUUCUUGAAUUAUUGAUCCAUAAAUUAUGAUUAAAAAAAUAAGUUACUUUAGGGAUAACAGCGUAAUUUUUUUAGAGAGUUCAUAUUAAUAAAAAAGUUUGCGACCUCGAUGUUGGAUUAAGAUAAAAUUUAGGUGAAGAAG